rnacentral:ncRNA from 1 species
AAGGGGGUCUGGGGCAUGGGGCUGGAGCAGGUCCCAAGGGUUCGGCUGUUCGCCGAUUAAAGUGGUACGUGAGCUGGGUUUAGAACGUCGUGAGACAGUUC